GCAACUUCUUUUCUGAUUCGCAGUAAUCUUCUGCGGAUGAAAAGGAUUUGAUCUCAUCUUCCGCAAACAACAUUUUGAUAUUUACUUUUUUAUCUUUAUUUCCAAAGAAAAGAAAAAGAUCUGAUCUUUUGGUUAUUGUUUGACUUAUACGUUUAAUUUGUCUACGCAUUUUGGGGAUUUAUUAGCUCUGAUAUCUAAUGGUUUCGGAUGAGUAAGUUUGAUGAAAUCCUGUUUAUGGGGCGACUUGUUUUUCUUCUUCUUUUGGUUGACAUUACUGCUACGAUUGAUGCCCGAUGAUGGAAGAUCUAAUAUCGUUAGCGGCUUAUGUGGUUUCCUAUUGAGCACUGAUGCUUGCUGCUUCAUCACCUCCACUUAUCCUCUUCUUCUUCUUCUUCUUCUUCGAAGCCAUGUGAAGGUGCUCAAUAAGUAAAGCCAGUCACUAAGCCUCGAUGAAUGCGAAAAGCUAUGAGAUCUGAGGGCUUCAUUAACCAAAGUAAUCUAUCAUAUAGAUAAAGGAAGAGAGGAGAAAUAGUAUUUCUUGCUUUGCCAAAUCGACUUCUUUGUUAAACAGAGUGCUGUGAACAUGACUCUUUACCUGUCCACCUGUUCUUAUGUUGUUGGCAUUGUUGAUAUUUGGGGUGGUAAGAGAAAGACUGAUAUUUGCUAUUUACAGUAUUCUUUAUGCUCCAUUGAAUUUAUUUGCAUUUAACAGUAUUUAAAUAAUUUAUAAUUUUAUUAGAAGUAAAGAUGUGAUGCUUCCAUAGAUUCUGUUGGUGUUAUAGUUAUAAUACUUGAUCAACAGUUAGGUGAUCAAAUUGUGACAGAACAUAUGUGUCAGACAAUGUCUAUGUUUAAUUGUAAUUUCAAGUUCUAAACAUAGUCAUGUUUGCUAAGAACCUUUUUUUGCUUGUACGUUUCAUAGAUUAGUAAAUCACUGUGGGCAUUUAAUAGGUCUGUCUGUAUAAACAUAUGAAGCUUUCUCCCUUUUAUGAUUACAGUAUCACAGUCUUUGCCAGCCACUGACAUGGCAUUUUGUGCAUAUUAGUAAUACAUUGUGUCAUCUUUUGAGUUACAGAAUCGCUAUACUGAUUCAAGUUGCAGUUAGUAGAAAUGGCUAGUUGUACUGUUCAUAUCUGUAGAACUUGCAAAUAUUAGUCUUUACUGUUCAUUCUACACUUCGUUAAUAUACUUGUUUGGGUUUAGAAAUUACUGUGAUUAUUUAUAGGUAGGCAUGAAGCUAUACAAAUAUUAGAAAUUUUGCUCUAUUAAUGAUUAUGAAAAACAAACAUCAGGCUGUGCCAGCCAUUGGCAUGAUAUUUUAUGCCUGUUAGUAUCACUUUAUUUGAUGUUAGUAACAUAUUCAAUUUACUUUAUUUUUAUUAAAUCAGAUGGCUGAUUUACUGUUCAUUUUGUGUUACCUGCAUGCUGAUCCAUAAUUUCUUUGCCGAUCUUUUAAUGAACAGUAUUUUUUUUUUGUCUUGAUUUUUCCCCUUGUGUUUACAUUGUUAUGUUGCACUUAAGAUGAGGCCCAGUGAUGGAAAUCAUUGAUUUGAGCUGCUCCAUGGCUAUUUCUUUUGAGCAUUAACUGCAUGCCUUCUUCAUGUCUUAAAACAAAACCACCACCACAGCCACCAUUAUCACCACCACCGCUACCACUUCACUACUUCACCACUUCACCACCACCACCGCUACCACUUUAUCGUCAUUAUUUAUGCAUGUUAAAUGCUCAUCGAGAAAUACCAUUCUUCGAGCUGCAGUGAAUUUCUAAAGCUAUGAGAUCUGAGGGCCUCAGCUAACAGUGUUUGAUUACUGUCGAUUCAUGAUCACCAGUGGAGCAUCCAUUUGGUUUGACAGCACCUAUCUUAGUCCAUCACCGUGGACAGUAAUUACGGAUGGUAAUGUAGACUUACAUACAUGUGAUGAUCAGGGUUACAUUUUUAGAACAACCAGUGUUGCUGUCUUCAACCAUUGCCUGCCUUGAAUCUUAUUAUGUGUUAUCCUUGUUUACGUUUUGCUUAUAUUGUGCACCUUUGUGUCUGUUGUAAUGCUCACAUAUAUCCAACAAACAUUAUUUACAAAAUAAUGGUAUCAGUUUCAUGUUUUUUGUUGUAGUUGUUGUUGUUAUUAGUGUUUCCUUGUAAUGUUGCUGGUAAAUAUUGCCAACUUCAGCAUUGAUGGAUUUGUAUAGCUAACCAUGACAAAGUUCAAUAAUUGAUCAAAUAAUACCAUACUGUAUUUUUCAUGUGAAUUCUUCUCACAAUUCUAUCAUUUUACAUUAUGGCAUAAGUUAGUUAGUUGGAUAUCUGCUAUCAUUUUAUGUUGUGUUAAUUAUUGUUUUAAUGGAUGCACUUAUCUGCUGUUGAGUGUAUUAUCGAAACUGAUAUAUCUUUUAUUUCUUUUUAUGGGUAUAUGCAGGAACAGGUCUUAUGUUUAAGCAGGACUAAGGAUGACUAAGGAGCUCAAUGUUUCUUACACCGAAAUCGAAUUGCAUACCCUAAAAUUCUUAUAGUUUUGUAAAGGGAAUGGCUGUUGUUCACUGUAAUUUUUUUAUGGGCGACCUCAUAUUGUUGUACAAUUUAGAGGGUAAUGGUUGGUCUUAUUUUGGAAAGUUUCUGAGUACUAAAUUAUUUUGGAAUGAUAAUAGAUGUCUAUUUUCAGCAAAAAGAAAGAACACAGUAUUCAGCGAUUUGGCACUGUUUGAUUCUUUUUGUCAUUUUGUCACCCUCUGGUGAGAUAAACUCACCGGAGAUGAAAACAAGAAUAACAAAAGACGAGCAAAAUGGAUUCUUAAGCAAUUUAGCCAACAAAGUUAUAUCUGAAGGCAAAAAGAGACCAAAUUCUUCAAAUUUUUUCUCCAUUUUUUAAAUGGAUCUUCUCAAACCAUCACCUACCAAAGAUCUAAUCAUACUCCCUCAAAGGCCAAAAUACCAAAAUAUGAUCAUGAUGAUAUAUGAAUGGCGUUUGGUUCAUCAGCUUGCCAUUCAUAUCUACAACUUUUUAUCAGCCCAAAAAAACACAAUCUAGAGAGACAAAAACUGCUGAAGUUUUAUUCAUCACAAUUUCAGUCUGGAAAAUUUUAGCUUCCAUAUUUUAUUGUUGACUGCAUUUUGAUGUUCCGUAUUUAAUUAAGCAACAAGUUACAUCUUCUACUUGCAUGAUGUACAUAUACUAAGAUCACCAUCUAUAUAUCUUGACAGUGAAAUCAAAAUGACCAGUGGACGGGC
rnacentral:lncRNA from 1 species